rnacentral:lncRNA from 1 species
CAAUUUUACCCCUAGUGUUAGAAAUAGGCUAAUUUUGCAUGCUCCCUUAGUUUUAGGACUUAUAGAAUAUUCUCAUUGGUCAAUUAGCCUAGCUAUUAUUUCUCAUGUGGUUAACCUUGGUUCUAAUGCAUGUUUAGAUAGAGUUUAGAUUUUAGAAUUAGCUUUCAUUUGAAUGAUUUUAUUUCCGCACUCCCUUGUACUUUACAUGUACCCCCUCCCCUU